rnacentral:lncRNA from 1 species
UGAAACUUUUUAAACGACAUAUAUAAAAGUGUAAUUACAUCAUACUAUGUGUCAAUAUGAUAUUUUCGCCUAAUUUUCUCCUGCCCACUCAUGGAAAUUAUUAAUAUUAAUUAAUAAUAUAUAUUAACCAUACCGCAGAAAAGGAAAACCAAAUAUUAUUUUUCAAAUUUUGGAUAACAUUAAUAAAAACAAUUAAUUAAAAAAUAUCAAGAAUUUCCAAAAUGAAGCCAUUGCAGAGCGGACAAUUCCCUCUCUGGACCCAAAGCUCCCUCGAGCAUAGCCGGCAGAAAGUAUGGCCG